GAACCACAAAAGUCUGCCAGUUUCACCAAAGUGGAUGCAGUAAUCAUGUCACAUUACUCACUGCUAGUUAAACUGGUCAUCCGCCUCAGCCUGAGGUGUGACCCCAUAUCACACUCCCAUGUGAUAACGUCACAGCUCCAACACAGACUCUCGCCUCUGAGAUCACGGCACUAAGAAGACAGCAAUGAUCUCAGCUGGUCUGAUCAAACUCUCUGCAGUUCUGCUCUGCGUAGCUUUAGUUGAUGGCAGCGAUGUCGAGCAGACUCCACUUCUCUGGAGGAACGAGAGUCAAUCGGCCACGCUGAAAUGCAGCCACACUAAAGAUGCCACCUACUUCCAGAUGUACUGGUACAGACAGCGGUCAGGAGAAAUGAUGAAACAAAUCGUCUUCACGACGAAUUCUCCCCCGCACCAGUACGAGAGCGGCUUCAGCAAGGACAGAUUCCCAGCAAACAAAACCGACGCUCAGACCGGAUAUUUGUCGGUGGUUGAGCUGCAACCCGGAGACGCUGCAGUGUACUUCUGUGCCGUGAGUCAACACGCUGAUGCAAGAGACUAAGAGAGCUGCACAAAAACCCAACUACUGGCGUCAGUGAAGAGGAAUCACACCGCACUACUGCUGAUGAACAACAGGGGGCGCUGUAGCCAAACACCAGCACUGAUCUAAUGUAAAAAAAACAAUGACAGACACUGAAACAGUAAAGUUCAACUACAGUAAUGUGAGGGGACAGUUCAAUAGGAUGAUGCAACACCAACACCACCCACAAAUAAGGCUCUAGCAAUGGGAGGGCUUGUGGCUCCACAUCCUGACUGUGACUGUGGGAGCACAGCUUAUUCUUCAUAUCAG